CACCGCGGUUAGACGAGAGGCCCUAGUUGAUAUUACAACGGCGUAAGGGUGGUUAAGGAUAAAUAAAAAUAAAGUCAAAUGGCCCCUUGGCCGUCAUACGCUUCUAGGCGUCCGAAGCCCUAAUACGAAAGUAACUUUAAUGAACCCACCUGACCCCACGAAAGCUGAGGAACAAACUGGGAUUAGAUACCCCACUAUGCUCAGCCGUAAACUUAGACAUCCAACUACAAUAGAUGUCCGCCAGGGUACUACGAGCAUUAGCUUAAAACCCAAAGGACCUGACGGUGUCUCAGAUCCCCCUAGAGGAGCCUGUUCUAGAACCGAUAACCCCCGUUCAACCUCACCACUUCUAGCCAACCCAGCCUAUAUACCGCCGUCGUCAGCUUACCCUGUGAAGGUAAUAAAAGUAAGCAAAAUGGGUACAACCCAAAACGUCAGGUCGAGGUGUAGCGCAUGGAGUGGGAAGAAAUGGGCUACAUUUUCUAACAUAGAAUAUUACGAACAUGCACCAUGAAACAGUGCUUGAAGGAGGAUUUAGUAGUAAAAGGGAAAUAGAGUGUCCCUUUGAACCCGGCUCUGAGACGCGUACACACCGCCCGUCACUCUCCCCUGUCAAAAUGCACCAAAAAUAUCUAAUAUAAUAGCACUGACAAGGGGAGGCAAGUCGUAACACGGUAAGUGUACCGGAAGGUGCACUUGGAUCAAACCCAGGGUGUGGCUGAG
rnacentral:rRNA from 1 species